CUGCGAGUGAAGCGGGAUGAGCUCAAAUUUUGAAUCUGGCGGUCUUCGGCCGUCCGAGUUGUAAUCUAGAGAAGCGUCUUCCGCGCUGGCCCGUGUACAAGUCUCCUGGAAAGGAGCGUCGUAGAGGGUGAGAAUCCCGUCUUUGACACGGACUACCAGUGCUAUGUGAUGCGCUCUCGACGAGUCGAGUUGUUUGGGAAUGCAGCUCAAAACGGGUGGUAAAUUCCAUCUAAAGCUAAAUACAGGCGAGAGACCGAUAGCGAACAAGUACCGUGAGGGAAAGAUGAAAAGAACUUUGGAAAGAGAGUUAAACCGUACGUGAAAUUGCUGAAAGGGAAACGCUUGAUGUCAGUCGCGUCGCCCGGGGAUCAACCUUGCUUAACCGCUCGGCGUACUUCCNGGUCGACGGGUCAGCAUCAGUUUCGGUCGCAGUACAAGGGCGAGGGGAACGUGGCACUCUCCGGAGUGUGUUAUAGCCCUUCGUCGCAUGCCGCGCUCGGGACUGAGGAACUCGGCACGGCUUCGGUCUGUGCUUGGGAUGCUGGCAUAAUGGCCUUAAGCGACCCGU
rnacentral:rRNA from 2 species